rnacentral:rRNA from 1 species
AUUGAACGCUGGCGGAAUGCUUUACACAUGCAAGUCGAACGGCAGCACGGGGCAACCCUGGUGGCGAGUGGCGAACGGGUGAGUAAUACAUCGGAACGUGCCCAGUCGUGGGGGAUAACGUAGCGAAAGUUACGCUAAUACCGCAUACGAUCUACGGAUGAAAGCGGGGGACCGUAAGGCCUCGCGCGAUUGGAGCGGCCGAUGUCAGAUUAGGUAGUUGGUGAGGUAAAGGCUCACCAAGCCGACGAUCUGUAGCUGGUCUGAGAGGACGACCAGCCACACUGGGACUGAGACACGGCCCAGACUCCUACGGGAGGCAGCAGUGGGGAAUUUUGGACAAUGGGCGCAAGCCUGAUUCAGCCAUUCCGCGUGCAGGACGAAGGCCUUCGGGUUGUAAACUGCUUUUGUACGGAACGAAAAGGCUCUGGUUAAUACCUGGGGCUCAUGACGGUACCGUAAGAAUAAGCACCGGCUAACUACGUGCCAGCCGCCGCAGUAA